GGGCAAGAGGAAUACUUGGAAUACUAGCCCCAUUGGAUUAGUAUUCCAAAGGUCGUAGGUUCGAUUCCUACCGUGGCCG